rnacentral:rRNA from 1 species
UGGGGAAUAUUGCACAAUGGGCGCAAGCCUGAUGCAGCCAUGCCGCGUGUGUGAAGAAGGCCUUCGGGUUGUAAAGCACUUUCAGCGGGGAGGAAGGCGGUGAGGGUAAUAACCUUGUCGAUUGACGUUACCCGCAGAAGAAACACCGGCUUACUCCGUGCCAGGCACCGCGGUAAUACGGAGGGUGCAAGCGUUAAUCGGAAUUACUGGGCGUAAAGCGCACGCAGGCGGUAUGUCAAGUCGGAUGUGAAAUCCCCGGGCUCAACCUGGGAAGUGCAUUCGAAACUGGAAGGCUAGAGUCUUGUAGAGGGAGAUGGAAUUCCUGGUGUAGCGGUGAAAUGCGUAGAGAUCAGGAGGAAUACCGGUGGCGAAGGCGGUCCCCUGGACAAAGACUGACGCUGAGGGGCGAAAGCGUGGGGAGCAAACAGG